GGAUUAGAUACCCUGGUAGUCCACGCCGUAAACGAUGCACACUAGGUCGGGGCGUCUCUGACGUCGUCUCGGCCGAAGGAAAACUAUUAAGUGUGCCGCCUGGGGAGUACGGUCGCAAGGCUAAAACUCAAAGGAAUUGACGGGGGCUCACACAAGCGGUGGAGCAUGUUGCUUAAUUCGAGGCAACGCGAAGAACCUUAUCCUAGGCUUGAAAUGUAUGGAUUAGCUGUUGGAAACAUCAGUGACGCCCUUGGGUGGAACAUACACAGGUGCUGCAUGGCCGUCGUCAGCUCGUGCCG
rnacentral:rRNA from 1 species